UGUCAGGCUGUGACCCUCCAGAGGGAAGCACUUUCUGUUGUCUGAAAGAAAGCAAAGCGCUCCCCUUUAGAGGAUUACGGUUUGAGU
rnacentral:pre_miRNA from 8 species